rnacentral:rRNA from 1 species
GAUGAACGCUGGCGGUAGGCCUUACACAUGCAAGUCGUACGGAAAUCAAAUUUAUUUGAUUUUAGUGGCGGACGGGUGAGUAACACGUGAGAAUUUGCCUUUAGGAGGGGGACAACAUCUCGAAAGAUUUGCUAAAACCCCAUAUGCCCUCGGGUGAAACAGAGUAAUCUGCCUAAAGAGAAGCUCGCGCCUGAUUAGCUAGUUGGUAGGGUUAUGGCCUACCAAGGCGACGAUCAGUAGCUGGUCUGAGAGGAUGAUCAGCCACACUGGAACUGAGACACGGUCCAGACUCCUACGGGAGGCAGCAGUGAGGAAUUUUCUGCAAUGGGCGAAAGCCUGACAGAGCAAUACCGCGUGAGGGAUGAAGGCUUACUGAGUUGUAAACCUCUUUUUUCAAGGAAGAAGAUCUGACGUUACUUGAAGAAUAAGCAUCGGCUAACUCCGUGCCAGCCGCCGCCGUAAUAC